rnacentral:rRNA from 1 species
CACGGACCAAGGAGUUUAUCGUGUACGCAAGUCAUUGGGUAAAUAAAACCCAAAGGCGAAAUGAAAGUAAAGAGUAGUUUUUAUUUCUUCUUUUAUAAUAAAUCUCUUUAAGGAAGAUGGAAAUUAUAUAUUAUAUUAUAUAUAGUAUUUAGUUUCUCGCAUUCCUGGGGCGCUUGUUUCACGCUUUGCGUGUCGAUGCGCACCUAGAGCGUACACGCUGAUACCCGAAAGAUGGUGAACUAUGCCUGGCCAGGACGAAGCCAGGGGAAACCCUGGUGGAGGUCCGCAGCGAUUCUGACGUGCAAAUCGAUCGUCGGAGCUGGGUAUAGGGGCGAAAGACCAAUCGAACCAUCUAGUAGCUGGUUCCCUCUGAAGUUUCCCUCAGGAUAGCUUGCGCUCGGUUGAGAAGAGUCUCAUCCGGUAGAGCGAAUGAUUAGAGGCAUUGGGGUCGAAACGACCUCAACCUAUUCUCAAACUCCAAAUAGAUGAGACCCCCGGCUUUCUUAAAAGUGAAGCCGUGGGAUUCGGAUCAGAGUGCCAAGUGGGCCAAUUUUGGUAAGCAGAACUGGCG